CUCACCUUCCCGUGGGCUCAUUACCAAAGGUGUUCAGCUCCCUGCUGCUACCGGUUCACAUUUUUAAGCCCACUCUUUUCUCUUCUGCUGUGCUUUGUCAUCCACUGCAGGAGGAGUCCCUAACCCUAACCCUCCCGGCCUCCAGCAGAUGCCGCUUGAGGUGCUGCAUUCACCCAGGCUUGUUGAAGCAGCCACUGACGCUUCUUAAGAAAGAUGGACUAGAUAGCCCUGGAGCCACAAAGCCAGGAAGACCGAACAGCACCAAGCACAUGAGAGCCUUGACAUCUUUGGAAAGCUGCUAGCUCUUAAAGUGGCUAAUCCCAACAAAGAUGUUAUUUGUUUUAACGUAAAAACAUAUGGGAGAAUUUAAAUAAAGCUUCCUACAAUGGUGGGCCUC